rnacentral:tRNA from 32 species
CGAUCGGUAGACGCUACGGACUUGAAAAUCCGUUGGCUUUAUUGACCGUGAGGGUUCAAGUCCCUCUACCCCCA